rnacentral:piRNA from 1 species
UGAUAAUUGGACCUGUUGAUAAAUUCGCUGU